CGCGCUUUUGAUACUGAAAAUGGCUCAUGAGGCUUCCCACUCUGGCCCUCUCUAAUCUGAUCAUCUCCUCUGCAGACUCACACAAAGCCUCCAAUAGUCCAGCCAAGGCCCCUUAAUCGACAUGUUAUUGCCCACAAUCGCAUUUACAGCGCUGAGGAAAAUCUGCACAGAUGCAAUUGUGUCGGCUGCUAAUCCAAUAAGCCCGCACUCACUUUUCUUUUGCUUGGCAUCUUUCAUCUCCAAAAACAAGGAAGAUUAUUCACCAGAGUGAAGAGUUCCUGCCACUACUCUUUCCAGUAGUGGACGAUGAAGCACAUUCAACCCAAGGUCGGACUCUGAGAAACGUCAUGAAUCAAGAGCUACACCUCAGACCAUCCGGGCCCCACUGAGCCUGGUAAAUGUUAAAGUUUAUGACAGCACAAUUAGAAAAAGACCCAACAAGAAAUCCUCUGUCUAAACGGAAAACAACAAGCAACAAGACACCUAACCUGCAGUCUGUGUCAAUCAGAAACUCCUCUUUACACCAGUGUUCAGAAAAAUGAGAGGUGGUCGUAUGGACUGUUGCACAUAACUGUACAGAAAUUGUUAAAUAAAUUAUAAAUCUGAACUUACA
rnacentral:lncRNA from 1 species